rnacentral:rRNA from 1 species
GAUGAACGCUAGCUACAGGCUUAACACAUGCAAGUCGAGGGGAAACGGCAUCGAAAGCUUGCUUUUGAUGGGCGUCGACCGGCGCACGGGUGAGUAACGCGUAUCCAACCUGCCCAUCACUUGGGAAUAACCUUGCGAAAGUAAGACUAAUGCCCAAUGACAUCCCACGAAGGCAUCCGAAUGGGAUUAAAGAUUUAUCGGUGAUGGAUGGGGAUGCGUCUGAUUAGCUUGUUGGCGGGGUGACGGCCCACCAAGGCAACGAUCAGUAGGGGUUCUGAGAGGAAGGUCCCCCACAUUGGAACUGAGACACGGUCCAAACUCCUACGGGAGGCAGCAGUGAGGAAGAGUGGUCAAUGGGCGAGAGCCUGAACCAGCCAAGUAGCGUGCAGGAUGACGGCCCUAUGGGUUGUAAACUGCUUUUAUAAGGGAAUAAAGUGGGUCACGUGUGACUUUUUGCAUGUACCUUAUGAAUAAGGACCGGCUAAGUCCGUG